rnacentral:rRNA from 1 species
AAGGAUCAUUAUUGAAAAGAGAAGAAUCAUGGGAUGUUGCUGGUGCAGAAUGCACAAGUGCACUCCCUUGCCAUUUUUCUUUUUCAAUCUAUCUAUCACACCUGUGCACACAUUGUAGAUUGAGUAAAUCAAUCUAUGUCUUUUUCUCUCUCAUACAACCCUUGCAUUGUAUGUGUUGGUUAUAUAUGAAUWUGAAUACAACUUUCAACAAUGGAUCUCUUGGCUCUCGCAUCGAUGAAGAACGCAGCGAAAUGCGAUAUGUAAUGUGAAUUGCAGAAUUCCGUGAAUCAUCGAAUCUUUGAACGCACCUUGCGCCUCUUGGUAUUCCGAGAGGCAUGCCUGUUUGAGUGUCAUUGGAAAUUCUCAACUUGACUUUUCAGAAUCAAGUUUGGACUUUGGAGAGUGCCUGCUGCUUCUUUGAAUGACCAGGCUCCUCUGAAAAGCAUUGGCAAAAGAAUGGCUUACUUGUUCACAAUUUGCGAGCAUUGAUAAUGUUUCAUGCCGCUUGUUGAAGAAACCCUAUCCCCUUCUUUUGCUGAAUAAUAAAUAAUUGUGAACCAUCUGACCUCAAAUCAGGUAGGACUACCCGCUGAACUUAA